GCAAGUGUAGCUCAGUUGGCUAGAGCGCGACCUUGCCAAGGUCGAGGCCGAGGGUUCGAGCCCCUUCACUCGCACCA
rnacentral:tRNA from 1 species